AUGUCUAAGUCCAUAACUAUAAUUAGUAAGACUUGACCCGACCCGGCAUGGUCCAUUUGGGUUGCAUGGCAUCAUGCACUUGGAUAGACUAAAUGAGAGAAAUAAGACACUUAUGGUUAUUAAUAUAUUAUAAGUUCUAGUAUAUUAAUAAUAAGAAUAAUGAGAUUAUUUAAUUAGUAUUGAUCAAGAAUUAAUCUAGGAUAAAUUAAGUGAUCAAAAGAAGACUAAUUAAAUAUAUGGGUUGAUUGUGUAGAUCAUCCAUACUUGUAUAGUGGGCUAAUGCUCCAUGGAUAAUCAAGUUGGGCUAAAACCCAUAGGAUGGUUCAUGGAUGCUCCAUGGUGUAUUUGAACCCAUGGAUCCAAGGAAAUGGAAAGCCAUGACAAUUAAGAGUUUACCCUAAUUGUAACACUAUAUAAAGAUCACAUUCUUGGGAAAAAUCGGCCACUAGAGAGAGUAAGAAAGGGCUAGCCGAUUUUCAUGAAGUGUAUAAUUCUCUCAAGUCAUUCCAUUUGUAUUUGGUGUUGUGUGAUUCCAUUUGAGGCUUCCACACUAUUGGGGCUAGGCACUCAAGCUUCAUGAAGACUUUCUACAUCAAAGAGGUAUGUAUUCUAACUUGCUAUAGUCAUUGUUUUGUAUGCUAGAUUAGGAUAAUACCUUGGAAGUUCUUAUUUGCAUGUAUAAUAGAGAAAACAUAGAUCCAAGGUAUUUAGGGUUGCAUGUACACUUAGGAGUGUUAGAAUGCUCAAAACCCAACAGUGGUAUCAGAGCCUAGGCUUGUUUUCUUGUUAUACCUGCAAUAAAAGCUGAAAAAACGAAUUUGGUGCUGUCUAAUCAUCAGACUCGGCGAUUCCAUCAGGAGACUCGACGAGUCCAUGCCUAAAAAGUGAUGAAUUCGAUCCAACUCGCCGAGUUUGUUCAUGCACUCGACGAGUUGGACCCCCAGACAGCAUAUUUUCGAGUUUUUUGGCUAGAAAUGGACUAGGAACAUUACCCUAAGUUGUUUUUGAACUUAUAAACUUGUUUUUGAUGUGGUAAUGUUCAUGCUAAUCCAUUUUCAAAGAUAAUUGUCAAUAGAUUCAUGUUUUGUAUUAGUUUAAGGUUUAGACUAAUUACAUGAAAAAGUUUGAUUUGAAUUAUCUUGUUCUUAUGAGUUGCUUAGAUUAAUAGAAAUGUUGAGUGAAAUAGUUGUUUUCAAUCCAUUUUAAUCUAAGAGUUGAGUAUAAAAUGUGUUUGUGUAACUUGUCCUCAAGUUACAUGAAGAGUCACAUUAAAGACUCAUAAAAUUCAUAAAAGUUGGCAAUGGUUACAAAAUGAAGAGUCUUGUGUCAUUGAAUAAUUUUUUAUGACUCCAUAACUUGUCCUCAAGUUAUGGAAGUUCAAGAGUCACUUCAUUAAAGAAAAAUAUGUAACCAUAAUUAAAUCCAUAAGUUAUAAAAUAAAGAAAAAGUUAGUUCUUUUAUUAGUUUAAAGUCUUCCAUAACUUGUCCUCAAGUUAUGGAACUUGAAGAGUUUUUGGAUUAAAACUACUUUAAACACAUAAGUUAUGGAAUUAAUUAGUUUUGAAUAGUUUCAAAACUUGCCCUCAAGUUUUGGAAUUUGAAAAGUUUUCAAGUAUGAAUACUUUAAUUCCAAGUUAGCCCUUAGAAUUUUAAAAGUUAAAAUUCAACCCUUAUACUUUAUAAUAUUAUAAGUUAAUAAUAUAUAUAUGUAUAAGAGUAAAGUCAGUCUUACCGCUAGUACGCCUCAUUCACGAAGCCGGUCUAUAAGGUGGGUAUAAGGUUGUUGCCUAUAAAAUGGCAACUUAAUGGGUGUCCACUCUCACCCACCGCUUGCUUGACUGGUGGAGGGUCGUUAGCCGAACGGGUUUGACAGGACUAGAAUUCUCCCUUCAUUAAAAGUAUUAAUGAUAAUACUAAGUAACUAAACUCUUAAUAAUACCCAAUCUUAGUUACUUAGGAAAAAUGUGAAUAAGGUGCUAAUCCAUGAAAUUACACUUUACACUUUGUCUAAGUCGUUAGUGGAGCGUGUGUGGUUAACCGGCACACUAACUUGGACUUAACAAGGUAGGUAAAGGGUGACUUAAUAUUUAUCAUAGUAUCGAUGGAGCGUGUGUGGUUAACCGGCACAUCGAUUGAGGGGUAAUUUAUUAAGGGUACCAAGUGAUUUGCAUGGUUACUUCACACCUUGUUUUGUGAUCCUCGGCAUCCCAGUCACAAAACCUGAAGGGCACACUCGAGAUUGAAACAUGCCUUUGAAAAGUUCAAUGAAUCUCAAAGAUCUAGGAGUUUCAAAACCAAUUAAAACCUAAUAAUACAUUUCGUUUAUCUUGGUGGAAAUUGGUGAAUCGUCAUUCACCUACCUUCAAAUAUUUUAUAGCUUGGAUUACGGCAUACCUCUUCUAAGUUAUAAAAUAGUUUGUUGGGUCCUAGCCUUAAUAUUUCAUAUUGGGUGUCAUAUUAAGGACUUUAAAUCAACUAUCUUGAAUAUCUCCCAAAAGAUGUCUGGUUUAGACACCUAUGAUCUUCCCAAAUCUCUUGAAACAAGGUUUCCUAAUGAAGAUGAUGUCCCAUGGAUAUCAUACUUCUUCACCUCUUCAAAUUAUUCUCCCUAACCCACAAGUUCUUGAAAAGUUUAAGGUCACUCAGGCCCUAUUGGCAAGGCAAGGUCUAGGUGUGGUCACAUCUUGGAGAUGUAGUCACAUAUUGACAAGCCGGGAGAGUUGGGUGUCAAAGUCUUGAGAAAGUUGGUGGUUCAACCACUUUCUAAGUCACAUAGUGAGUUCCUUUGGGACACCUAUGAAACAGACUAUGACAAGACCCUUAAUGAUCUUAUCUAUUUGCUAAGAUCAACUUCCUAAAACUUUAUGGACAUUGACAAUGAUGACAUUGGAUAUCCAGUAAAGCAUUCUCUUCCCAAUGGAAAGGGAUCGGCCAUAGUCAACUCGGUUGACCAAAUGGUAAAGAGAAAAGCUAAGUCUGUGAUAGUCCCGUGUACCAUUAUCAAAGGGUCCAUAUGUUUAUAUUGCCAAAGGAAGGGGCAUUGGUUGCGAAGCUGCCAAAUUUACCUAAGGAUGUUAAAGUCAAUAAGUUUGACUCUACUUCAGGUAAAGUCCACUAUCUAACUCUGUUAAGUUUCUAUUCUGAGAUUCUUGAUACAUGAUGUGACUGGGUCACAUGGUGAUGUUUUAAGAAUCAAAGAAAAGUGAAGAAACUUAAAGAAAGAAUAUGCUGAAUCUGAUGGCGUAGAUGGAUUUCUAUCGCAUAGUUUGAAGAUCGGAUUCUUGAGCUACUUCUUAGGAGUUAUGAGAUAUUGCUUAGGAAUAGAUAACAACAAGUUUUCAUAUGGAUUGUAAGGAUAAGUUUUUCCGCAAAGUUUUAAAAUAAAAGAAAAUUUUUUUGAUUUUAUUUAUUUUAAAAUAUCCUUACAAUGGCAUUUGAGGAAAAAUUGUUGCUUAUAUGAUUCCAUUAAGAGCAAGAGUGGAAAUAUGAAAUUGAUUCUUUCAUUUGUGGUAAUGUCUAAAUUUACCAAAUAAGGAAAGAUUCUCAUCACCCAAGUUUCAAUUGGACCGGAACUUGGAAUCAUGCAAGUUGUAUAGCAUGAUGAAUGAGAACUUUCAAGUUUUGGAAAAUUAAGACUAAUUACUUGUUCACAUGGAUGUGUGAGUCAAGUAAAGGACUUAGGGAUCGAGUACACAUUCUUGUGCACUGAUUAAGUCCACCACUAAAGAUCGAUAAGAAGAAUCAAAUAAGGCAGAAGGAUAAAAGUUUCUCAAAUCUGAAAAGAUGGGAGAGUACUUUAGUAUCAGUUUUGUGAUCAUCUUAAUGAUUAAGAAACCAUAUCAAAAUUAGUUCUCUAAGGAAAUCUUAGUGCAUUCUUAUGACUAAGAAGAGGAACUUGAAUUGUUGAAAUGGUUAAAUCAAGAAGAUGAGUCAUACUUCGUUCCAAUACAAGUCUUAGAGUCAUACUCCAAGAUUGUCAUUUGAGUGACAUGUCUUAAAGAAGGUUUAAAACACUUGUCAAAUGUAAGAGUAAAAGUUUUCUACUCUUGUACAUUUGAAAUUGGUAAGUUGUGAUGUUUUGGAUAAAACAAAGACCAACUUAGGCCAAUUGGGUAAAGUGUUUUUCUUGAUUAGAAUCCGCACUAUCUCUUGGAUGUUUGACAAGGGAGUCUUAUAUGUCAAGAGGACAGUGGGAGUCUUAAAGGUCUUGAAAGUCUCAAGAAAUAAUCAAGAAUAAAACCUAAAGUUCUUCACUAGCACACGACUUGAGGUUUAUAACCUAUCGUGUUGACAUAUCUGUGCCCAUUCCAGUUAAAGUUGGCUUUGCAUAUGAGUUCUUAGAGUUCUCAGUUUGUUGCAUAACAACUUGGAAGCAAUGGCAGGCCCUUGAGCUGCCAGGUGGCAAGAAGUUAAGAUUGAGUUCAAUCCAUAUGGUUUUGGAUUUGUCAUUAUCUUUGUCUUGUGAUUAUGGUUUGACAAAUUCAUAUGGGUAGGAACUCAUACACCAUAUAAAUCUAAGUGUCAUAAGGUUUCUCUCCGAUUCAUGAAAAUGAUGGUGAGGAAACGCUUUCACUAAGUAGAUUUUACGAAGAUAUCAAUUGUGUUAUUUGCAUUUUCAAAAGUCGUUAGUGGAGCGCGUGUGGUUAACCGGCACACUAACAUGGACUUGUGAGAAAUGGCAAAUGCCUAAGCAAUUGAGACCAUGAUUACGGUAUCCCUUUUCAUGGUUCUUGAAAUUGCUUAGACACACAGGUGAGCUAUCUACGGAAAGGGUGUAUGAAUCUAAAUUUCAGACUGUCCAGCUGAUUUCUGAGUACAUGUCAAAGCUAGUGGGAGCAUAAGUGUUAUGCUAAUAAUCAUCAUGUUAGUGGGAGCAUGAUAAUUAUGAUAAGUAUUGCAAGUUAGCAAUGUUAAUUAUAGAAAACAAAAGUUUCAAUUGGGAAAAAGUUGUUUUGCUAUAAUUAAGGGAGAGGAAAUUAUGCUUCAUCUCAAAUCUAUAAGCUUAGAUCGUGAGGUUUUAAUCAUUUAGUCAAGGAUAUAUAUGAAUUUCAUGUUGGAAUGGCUCAACAUAAGGAAAUUCUGUAUAUGGGUCCAUUAUUUGCGUUCUAAAAUUCGAUUAUGAUUACGGCAUCCCUUUUCAUAAUCUGAAUUAUGAGAACUUGGCAAAUUGAAAUGGAAAUAUUAUAGCAAAAGACUGGUUUAGUCUUUAUGUAAGACAUCAUGAAUCGUGUCCCAUAUGCUUCGGAUAUAGGAUCGAUUACAUGUGCUAUAUUCAUCCGUUCUAAAAUUUUCCAAAUGCCUGGGGCAUUAAGAAGGGAAAAGGUUUAGAACUGGAUAUGACUAAAAGGAUUAAACAAUUGUCGAGGACAAUCUAAGGUUUACCAAAGAUUGGUUACUCAAGGACAAUUGGAAGUAUAGUGAUAAUUCUGGAAGGACCAUAUUGACAUAAUCUGUAAGGAGGCAACUCUUGUUCAGAAGUGAUAGUCAAAAUGGAAUCUGGAAAUGUUUCAAAGUUAGAAUUUUCAAUCUGUGUAAGAUUAAGGAAACUUAAUGCAAGAAGGAUAUUUCCAAGGAGUUGAUCUCCUUUGGAAUACUCUGUAAUGAUUGUUGCCAAGUCUUUGUGACUUUGUGCAUAAUCAUUACAAGAGGAUCAAUGCAUAUAAGUUUAGAAUCUAACAGAUUUCAGUAAAUGGCAUGAAUUUGGAAUUCUUGCAUUUGCAGUAAGGAUUUGGGAGUGUGAAAAGAGAAUCAUUGAAGUUAUGUUCAAUUGAUCUAGUUCACAAAGUAAAGAUCAUAGACAAACAUAGUAUGCAUACUUGGUGUGUGGCAUGACUAGUGUUUAAGAAAACAUAGUGUACAUGCUUGGAGCAUGGGACAACUAUUGUUUUAAAUUCAAGAAUAAAGUUGAUAGCUGAAACAGUAUACAAUGAAUAAUGUGUAAUCAUAUGGUGAUAAAUAAAAGGUGUUUUAUUUAUGUUCAAAGGGUUGAUACCAUAUUGGAUUCAAUUAUUAUUGUGUUUCAUUUUGCAUGUUUUGACUUCCCGAAUAAACUGGGUUAUUCUUCCGGAAUGACUAAGUUAUUCAAACCAUCCACAGUCGGUCAUAUGUUGGAAGUAGAUAUGAAUUAAGACUGUCAUGGGUUGGCUUGUAGAGGUCUAAGGUGUUGGACAAAGGGCUACAACACUCAUGAGUGCUCAUAAGUUCUGAGUAUUGGAUUCAACCCGCGCUCAUUGGAAUCACUUCAUGGAUUUUAUCACGAGUGAUCAUGAGACGAUAAUAUCUUAUAUUCUUCAAACCUAGAGAUAUGAGUUGUUACUAUGAGUUGAUAGUACAUUGAUUGCACGAAAACGCAUUUGGUAACUCGGUGCUAUAAAACGUGCCUUUGUGUAUGAUUCAACAAGUAGUAGAACAAGCCAUAUGAGUCGAAGUUUAUCCAUUCCUUUUACCUUCGGGAUAAAAGCGAUAUCUGUGGGCCCCUCGAUGAUUUGAUGAUGACAAAUGGAAGUGCUCGGCCGGGCCAGGACUGAUUUGAUUUGUUCAAUUAGUCAGUCGUCAUAAAUCGGAAAUCGGGAAACAACAAAUGGACAGAGAGAAUGAUUAUAAUCCAUGUCUCAGUCCAUAUGAUAUCUAGAAUGGAGGAAUAUAUGAUCCCUUAUCUAAUGGACAAGUCAUUGACAAAGGUCAGAGUUCAUCUACAAGGUCAGAGUUCGACAGAAGCUUUUGAGAGCUACGAUUGCCAGUUGGUUCCUGAAGUCAUACGCAAUAAUAGUUUUAGACUUAUCCAAGUGGGAGACUGUUGGAUUAAUGUCUAAGUCCAUAACUAUAAUUGGUAAGACUUGACCCGACCCGGCAUGGUCCAUUUGGGUUGCAUACCAUCAUGCACUUGGAUAGACUAUAAUGAGAGAAAUAAGACACUUAUGGUUAUUAAUAUAUUAUAAGUUCUAGUAUAUUAAUAAUAAGAAUAAUAAGAUUAUUUAAUUAGUAUUGAUCAAGAAUUAAUCUAGGAUUAAUUAAGUGAUCAAAAGAAGACUAAUUAAAUAUAUGGGUUGAUUGUGUAAAUCAUCCAUACUUGUAUAGUGGGCUAAUGCUCCAUGGAUAAUCAAGUUGGGCUAAAACCCAUAGGAUGGUUCAUGGAUGCUCCAUGGUGUAUUUGAACCCAUGGAUCCAAGGAAAUGGAAAGCCAUGACAAUUAAGAGUUUACCCUAAUUGUAACACUAUAUAAAGAUCACAUUCUUGGGAAAAAUCGGCCACUAGAGAGAGUAAGAAAGGGCUAGCCGAUUUUCAUGAAGUGUAUAAUUCUCUCAAGUCAUUCCAUUUGUAUUUGGUGUUGUGUGAUUCCAUUUGAGGCUUCCACACUAUUGGGGCUAGGCACUCAAGCUUCAUGAAGACUUUCUACAUCAAAGAGGUAUGUAUUCUAACUUGCUAUAGUCAUUGUUUUGUAUGCUAGAUUAGGAUAAUACCUUUGAAGUUCUUAUUUGCAUGUAUAAUAGAGAAAACAUAGAUCCAAGGUAUUUAGGGUUGCAUGUACACUUACG
rnacentral:lncRNA from 1 species